UACGUAGGGUGCGAGCGUUAAUCGGAAUUACUGGGCGUAAAGCGUGCGCAGGCGGUUCGCUAAGACCGAUGUGAAAUCCCCGGGCUUAACCUGGGAACUGCAUUGGUGACUGGCGGGCUAGAGUAUGGCAGAGGGGGGUAGAAUUCCACGUGUAGCAGUGAAAUGCGUAGAGAUGUGGAGGAAUACCGAUGGCGAAGGCAGCCCCCUGGGACAAUACCGACGCUCAUGCACGAAAGCGUGGGGAGCAAACAGG
rnacentral:rRNA from 1 species